GGCGCUGAGGUAAAUUCACCGGGUCUAGCAGGUGAACCGGCAAACUGACUGGCCGCCAAACGGCCUGCAGAAGCCAACACUGAAGAAAAGUCCAGGAAACAACAUUUGGAAGAAGAGUGAGCAAAAGAAUAAGAAUACAGAAGGACAUAUGGAAGGUUAUAAGAACAAGGAGCACAGUUGUGCUGAGGACAUAAUGGACUUACUGCUGGAGUACAUUAAGCAGCAACUAAACUCACUCAACACACCUGCUGUAAAUAGUGCUCUGCUGUCAGUUGUUUCGAUUUGUCAA